rnacentral:sRNA from 1 species
UGAUCCUGUUUACAACAUCAUGGUUAGAGCAAAACUUGUAUUUUCUCCACGUAUGUGGAGG